rnacentral:rRNA from 1 species
AUGUCCACGAGCGCUAGAGGUGGAGGCGGCCGGCGCGGCGGCCGCGGUGGCGACCAGCAGGGUGCGGUAGGACGCGGUCGAGGCCGGGGAAGAGGCGGGGAGCAGCAGGAUGCCCACCGUGGCCGCGGAGGCGGUCGUGGCCAGGGCGGCGGCGCCGACGCCGGGGUCCAGCGCGGUGGCCAUCGCGACGCCGGGCGAGGCCACUUGGGCGCUCAUCGAGGCGGGCUAGGCCGAGGCGGCUUGGAGGUGGGGGCGGUGGAGCGUCCCGUGGGCGCGGGGCGCGGCCGGCCGCCGGCGACGGCGACGGUUCCGGGUCAGGCAGAGGUGGAGGCGCUGAGCGGAGAGAUGGAGAGGAGGUUGGCGGUGUCGGAGGCGGUCCAGGGGUCUUCGUCCUCGGCGCCGGCGGCGGCCGCCACGGGAGCCCAGGAGUCGCAGGCGGCCGUGGUCGUGCCGCCUCGGAAUCUGCCUCCGGCGUCGAGCAAGUCGACGGGGUUCCAUGCGCGGCCUGGGUACGGGACGGCCGGCAAGAGGUGCCGGGUGCGCGCCAACCAUCUCCUCGUGCAGGUCGCCGACAAGGAGAUCUACCACUACGAUGUAUCAAUCAGUCCUGAAUCGAUGGCUCGUGAGAGGAACAGAUCUAUAAUUAAUGAACUUGUUAGAUUGCAUAAACAACAUUUGGAUGGGAGAUUGCCUGUUUAUGAUGGAAGAAAGGGAAUGUUUACUGCAGCUCCACUGCCAUUUAAAACCAAAGAGUUUAUUGUCAAAGUAUCAAAUACCGAGAGAGGAUACCAGGGGGAAAAGGAGUAUAAGGUCACCAUAAAGGAAGUUGCAAAACUAAAUCUAUACAAUCUUCAGCAAUUCUUGGCUGGUACGCAGAGAGAACUGCCGCAGGACACUAUCCAGGCUCUUGAUAUCGCUCUGAGGGAAACCCCCACUGCAAAGUAUACACCCAUCUCAAGAUCAUUUUUCUCAAAAUCAUUUGGACAUGGUGGUGACAUUGGCAGCGGGGUGGAAUGCUGGCGAGGGUAUUAUCAGAGCCUGCGCCCCACACAGAUGGGAUUGUCACUGAAUAUUGAUAUUUCUGCAACAGCAUUUUACAAAGCUCAACCAGUUAUGGAUUUUGCAUUGGAAUAUCUUAACAUCCGGGGUGAUGCUCCAAGGCGUUUGUUUGACCAGGAUCGCCUGAAACUAAAGAAAGCCCUCAAGGGAGUCCGAGUUGUGGCAACGCAUCGACCUGAUAUAUCCAUUCGUUACAAAAUUACUGGGAUAACCUCAGCUCCGCUAAAUGAAUUGACAUUUGACCUAGACGGGACAAGGGUAUCAGUUGUCCAUUACUUUAAACGCCAAUAUGAUUACUCUUUGAAAUAUAUACAGUGGCCAUGCCUUCAAGCUGGCAGUGAUAGCAGGCCAACAUAUUUGCCUAUGGAGGUUUGCAACAUACUUGGAGGACAACGCUAUUCGAGAAAGCUAAAUGAGCGUCAAGUCACAAACAUAUUGAGGUUGGCAUGUGAGCGGCCAGAUAAAAGGGAGGGUAGUAUCGUGGAGGUUAUUAACAGAAACAACUAUGGCAUUGAUGAUAAUGCAAAAGAAUUUGGAAUUAAGGUGAUGAACCAACUAGCAUUGGUCGAUGCUCGUGUGCUGCCUCCUCCAAGGCUUAAAUACCAUCAGUCUGGACGAGAACAAAUAUGUAAUCCGUCGGUAGGACAGUGGAACAUGAAUAACAAGAGAAUGAUAAAUGGAGGGUCCAUCAGGCACUGGGCCUGUGUUUCAUUUGGCUCUCGGUUGCAAUGGAAUGAUGUUAGCGUGUUCUGCAACUAUUUGGUUGGCACGUGCAAUAACAUGGGCAUGCAAGUAAGUGAGACACCGUGUGUGGACAUUGUUCAGGCACGCCAGGGUAACUUAGAAGCUGUAAAAAAUAUAUAUAGACAAUCUGCCCAAGUGCUUGCUCAGCAAGGUUUGGAAGGACAAAACCUUGAGUUACUAUUUGUAGUAUUACCUGAUGGACCUAAUGCAAGUGAUUGUUAUGGAAGAGUAAAGCGGCUUUGUGAAAUUGAGCUUGGUUUAAUAACUCAGUGCUGUUUACCUAAGCAUGUUCAGAGAGCUGGCACACAGUAUCUACAAAAUAUGGCCCUUAAGAUCAAUGUUAAGGUUGGUGGUCGGAACACCGUGCUGGAAAAUGCAUUGCUUCGGAGGAUACCUCUGUUGACAGAUAAGCCUACAAUUAUAUUUGGAGCAGAUGUGACCCACCCAUCUCCUGGGGAGGAUGUGUCUCCAUCUAUUGCAGCGGUUGUUGCGUCGAUGGAUUGGCCUGAAGUGUCUAAGUACACAUGCUUGGUGUCUUCACAAGGUCAUAGGGAAGAAAUCAUAGCUGACCUUUUCACAGAAGUGAAAGAUCCACAGAAGGGGGUUAUAUAUGGUGGAAUGAUAAGAGAGUUGCUUUUGUCCUUCUAUAAAGCAAACAAGUCUUGCAAACCUGGAAGGAUAAUAUUUUAUCGAGAUGGUGUUAGUGAAGGCCAAUUUAGCCAGGUCUUGCUUUAUGAAAUGGAUGCAAUAUACAGGGCUUGCUCUAGCUUAGAGAACGGUUACCUUCCUCAAGUUACAUUUGUUGUGGUGCAAAAGCGGCAUCACACACGGCUUUUCCCGGAAGAUCAUCGUUCAGGGGCCAUGGCAGAUCGAAGCGGAAACAUCCUACCUGGUACCGUUGUUGAUACAAAGAUAUGCCAUCCCAGUGAGUUUGAUUUUUACCUCUGUAGUCAUGCCGGCAUUCAGGGAACGAGCCGUCCAACUCAUUACCAUGUCCUCUUCGAUGACAGUAAUUUCACCGCCGAUGCGUUACAAACACUGACUUACAAUCUGUGCUACACUUACGCACGGUGCACGCGGUCCGUCUCGAUUGUUCCUCCGGCAUACUAUGCGCACUUGGCGGCUUUCCGGGCGCGGCACUACCUGGAUGACAAUCACUCUGAUCAGGGAUCAUCUUCUGUAGGCGGCACCCGAAUGCAUGAUCAAGCUGUCCUGGUAAAGCCACUGCCCAAAGUUAAGGAGAGUGUCAGGCAGUUCAUGUUCUACUGCUGA